UAUCACACUCAUCUCCACAGCCCAAUCGUUCCGCCUCCUCACGCGCUGCCAAGCUUUGACGGGUCUUCACCCUCGCGGUGGAGUGAGUGCGGCGUUGGAGCUGGCAGCCGAUUUCCACCGUGUGGAGCAGAUUGGACAGGAGAAAACGAGUACACGCAGCGGAAGUCACGGGGGUUUUGGGGAGGACGAGGAAGCGCAAGCGCAGGCAAGUGUAUUUACUGUGAUAACUUGAGAUCUGUGAGGUACAGAGGGGUGGAAACCUAAGGAAGGUGAGGUUUGGUGGGGAUUUCGGCUGUUUUCUUCUUGUGGUUGUUCUGAUUGGUUUUUCUUGGAGGUGUACCAAACUGCUUCUCUGCUAUAUGCUUCGAAUUGUUUUCUUUCUUGAGGAUGUAUUCGAUCGGUUUGUUACUUCGUAGGUGUUUCAGAUUUGUUUCGCCUCUGUAGAGCGGUGUUUUGUUGGAAGUAUCGGCUGAAGGUGUUGCUUGGUUUGCGUAUGUCUCCGAAGUUUUAUAGUGAUGUCAGCUUUGAUGGAGUUCGAAUUUCACAGUAUGUUUCCUGGAGGUUUUGGCUGGUGUUCGAUGUGCUGGAAAUUGAGUUUGAGUUGUGCUCUUCCGUGAAUGAACAAGUUUUAGUGAGGAUGUGUCUCUGGACGCAACGGAGGGUCUACAGACGGAGUAGGCGAGGAGGCGGGAUGGAUGCAUGGCGAGUCCGGAUAUUAGGAGUACUGAGCUUAUGUUCUUCAUGAGAAAGGUUUUGCUUUGGUGAGGUCGAGAGUAUCGAGUUUUCUUUAUUAUACUUUGUGAGGAAUGUUGACUUUUACGUUCGAUGAAAUAAUAUUUUUGAUUUGGUA